GUGGGGAAUAUUGGACAAUGGGCGCAAGCCUGAUCCAGCCAUACCGCGUGGGUGAAGAAGGCCUUCGGGUUGUAAAGCCCUUUUGUUGGGAAAGAAAUCCUGUCGAUUAAUACUCGGUGGGGAUGACGGUACCCAAAGAAUAAGCACCGGCUAACUUCGUGCCAGCAGCCGCGGUAAUACGAAGGGUGCAAGCGUUACUCGGAAUUACUGGGCGUAAAGCGUGCGUAGGUGGUGGUUUAAGUCUGCUGUGAAAGCCCUGGGCUCAACCUGGGAAUUGCAGUGGAUACUGGAUCACUAGAGUGUGGUAGAGGGAUGCGGAAUUUCUGGUGUAGCAGUGAAAUGCGUAGAGAUCAGAAGGAACAUCCGUGGCGAAGGCGGCAUCCUGGGCCAACACUGACACUGAGGCACGAAAGCGUGGGGAACAAACAGGAUUAGAUACCCCGGUAGUCC
rnacentral:rRNA from 1 species